AGUCUGACCCUAAGUUGUUGUAGGUCUACAUCAGGGUGAACUGCCUUUAUAAUUCAUGACUGUGUAGUUAGAAAUUAGAGGCAUGGGAAAUGGAUAAGGUGAGACUGAAUAAAAAAGAAGAAAGGAAAUAAAGAUCUUAUCAGUUCACAUGUAACAUUUUUUCUCUCUCUCUGUGGAGAACAUGUAAUUAAAGAAAAUUACUAAAUUUCUGACCUAAGUAACAAGCCAAGCUAAUCUGCGUGUGAGUCACAUAUAAAACACUUUGCAUGCGCUGCACCUGAGCUGACCUGUGAUGUAACUCGUGACCUAUUUCUUCAAAAGGGAUGAUGUUUUGAAUCAUUGUAGUCUCAGAGUGCUGGUAAUAACGCUGCUAAACGACAAACAUAAUAAUAGUAAUUUCUGAUCUUAAAACUCAUCCUUGUCUGUUUUAAUUGUCUAACAUUAGAUGCAAGGCUGGUGUCUGACAAUGCUUCAGUUGAUUCAUACCAGUGGUUUAUACUGUAGGUCUCAUCACACUUCAGCUUCCGCAACAAAGAAGAAAGGGAAAAAAAAGAGGAGAGAAAGUGUAGUAGCUGUAUGGGCUAAUGUGACUCUGUUGGUUAUGUUUGUUUUCCUCUAGGGGAAUUACAUUUGAGCGAUGCAGUGCCCAGUGUAAAUAAAAGUAAUCUGGACCAAUCAUAGCUGUUGAAGUAUGUCAUGCUAAUCAUUUAUGCGGCAUAGCAUUUCCAUUCAAUAACUCAGGCCAAAAAAGCAAAGAUCUGCUCACCUGGCUUUUGUUACGCAAUUUGUGUUCAAGUUCCUCACAGGUGACAAGUGCAGGAAAGAUACGAUUCUUAUAAAAUGCCUUAUAUGUUGACAAAACAUUUAAAAACACUCAGUAUUGACAUUAGCUCAACGUAUUCGUAUUUGGGAAAGAGACGUCCAAAUGAUUGAAAUACUGGCCUUCUGUUUGGCAGCUUUAUUGCCUUGUUUCAGUAUUUAUUGUUGAGAGAGUCACUAUCUUUCUAUGUGUCAUGAUCCUUGUGUGUUAGUCUGUUUUUUGUGGGUGUGUGAGUUCUCUUCCUGAAGGGAGGAUCUUUGCCGGAGGGAGUGGCUGACAGGUGGCAGACAGAACACCUGGCUGCAAUCCAGAUCAUCUGACUGCUGAAAAUAUAAGGAGCUGCAAGACGAUCACUCAUGGCUUGGUGAGCAAUAAGUUGUCCUACCAGCCCUGGAUUCCUCCUCCAAACUCCACUGUUAGAUUAUUCCCAGAAUCUCCUUCUCUCCACGGCUGUUCACGGCAGUUCCUUUGGGUUCGGGUUCCCACAGCCCACCCACUCUCCGGUUUUCUGCUCACUCCCUCCAAAGCAGGCAGGUAUAAGCUCAGUAAGCAAAUGGAGCCCUUGAAAGGGUUUUAAGAAACAGAAAAAAAAUGUCAGUGGGAGAAAAAACUCUGGCAAACUGGUGACAAACCCGACCGACUCAAGUAACUGUCCUAAAAAAAAAUCAGAGCUCAAAAAUGGGUAACCCCAAAAGCAGAUGAGGUCAUUAGACAAAUGCAAUAGUUGUUGUUAGCUGGGAUGCCCUGAGCCAGUAUGUUAUCGCCACAGGGUUUAACAAAUCUCCAUAUGUCCACAUUUGCUAGUUAAACACACAUGCUGUCAUAGGGUGUCCUAAUUUUUCAGCAUGACACUAUAAAUGGCAUUUAUUUUACUGAGAAACAAUGAUUGGGGCAAUACCAGUUUUUACUAUUCUGUUUUGUUCUACUUAAUACCAUCUGUAAAAAAAAAAAA